rnacentral:rRNA from 1 species
CCUACGGGGGGCUGCAGUGGGGAAUAUUGCACAAUGGGCGCAACCCUGAUGCAGCAACGCCGCGUGAGUGAAGAAGUAUUUCGGUAUGUAAAGCUCUUUCAGCAGGGAAGAAGAUGACGGUACCUGAGUAUGACGCCCCGGCUAACUACGUGCCAGUAGCCGCGGUAAUACGUAGGGGGAGAGCGUUAUCUGGAUUUACUGGGUGUAAAGGGAGCGGAGACGGUGCAGCAAGUCUGAUGUGAAAGGUCGGGGCUCAGCCUGGGAACUGCAUCUGAGACUGGUGAACUGGAGUACAGGAGAGGUAAGAGGAAUUCCUAGUGGAGCGGUGAAAUGCGUAGAUAUGAGGAAGAACACCAGUGGCGAAGGCGGCUUACUGGACCGUAACUGACGUUGAGGCACGAAAGCGUGGGGAGCAAACAGGAUUAGAUACCCCGGUAGUC